GGAGAAGUGCCAGAGUGGCCGAAUGGGACUGACUCGAAAUCAGUUGUGCCGGUAACGGUACCGGGGGUUCGAAUCCCUCCUUCUCCGCCA
rnacentral:tRNA from 1 species